UUUUUUUGAUUAUUUUGGGCCAGCAUACAUGCUUACGUAGGUUUGGACAAAAUAAUCAGACCCCGAAGAACCGGUUUUUAACUUUUGCGUACCGCGGAUUAAAAUUUAAUAGUUAUAAUAAAAAGAUAAGCUUCUGGGUCAUGGAAUCUCUCAACAUGAAGAUUCCUUCAUAUGUCAGUAAUUAUAGUUACGU
rnacentral:sRNA from 1 species